UGAGGGAUGAAGGCCUCUGGGCUGUAAACCUCUUUUAUCAAGGAAGAAGAUCUGACGGUACUUGAUGAAUAAGCCACGGCUAAUUCCGUGCCAGCAGCCGCGGUAAUACGGGAGUGGCAAGCGUUAUCCGGAAUUAUUGGGCGUAAAGCGUCCGCAGGCGGUUUUACAAGUCUGUCGUUAAAACGUGGAGCUCAACUCCAUUUCGGCGAUGGAAACUGUAAGACUAGAGUGUGGUAGGGGCAGAGGGAAUUCCCGGUGUAGCGGUGAAAUGCGUAGAUAUCGGGAAGAACACCAGUGGCGAAGGCGCUCUGCUGGGCCAUAACUGACGCUCAUGGACGAAAGCUAGGGGAGCGAAAGGGAUUAGAUACCCCUGUAGUCCUAGCCGUAAACGAUGAACACUAGGUGUCGGGGGAAUCGACCCCCUCGGUGUCGUAGCCAACGCGUUAAGUGUUCCGCCUGGGGAGUACGCACGCAAGUGUGAAACUCAAAGGAAUUGACGGGGGCCCGCACAAGCGGUGGAGUAUGUGGUUUAAUUCGAUGCAACGCGAAGAACCUUACCAGGGUUUGACAUCCUGCGAAUCCCUUGGAAACUUGGGAGUGCCUUCGGGAGCGCAGUGACAGGUGGUGCAUGGCUGACGUCAGCUCGUGUCGUGAGAUGUUGGGUUAAGUCCCGCAACGAGCGCAACCCACGUCUUUAGUUGCCAGCAUUCAGUUGGGCACUCUAGAGAGACCGCCGGUGAUAAACCGGAGGAAGGUGUGGAUGACGUCAAGUCAUCAUGCCCCUUACAUCCUGGGCUACACACGUACUACAAUGCUACGGACAAAGGGCAGCAAACUCGCGAGAGCUAGCAAAUCCCAUAAACCGUGGCUCAGUUCAGAUCGUAGGCUGCAACUCGCCUACGUGAAGGAGGAAUCGCUAGUAAUCGCAGGUCAGCAUACUGCGGUGAAUACGUUCCCGGGCCUUGUACACACCGCCCGUCACACCAUGGAAGUUGGCCACGCCCGAAGUCGUUACUCCAACCCUUGUGGAGGAGGAUGCCGAAGGUGGGGCUGAUGACUGGGGUGAAGUCGUAACAAGGUAGCCGUACCGGAAGGUGCGGCUGGAUCACCUCCUAA
rnacentral:rRNA from 1 species